rnacentral:rRNA from 1 species
CCUACGGGUGGCAGCAGUGAGGAAUAUUGGUCAAUGGGCUUAAGCCUGAACCAGCCAAGUCGCGUGAGGGAAGACUGCCCUAUGGGUUGUAAACCUCUUUUGUCAGGGAGCAACGCAGGCUACGUGUAGCCGGACCGAGAGUACCUGAAGAAAAAGCAUCGGCUAACUCCGUGCCAGCAGCCGCGGUAAUACGGAGGAUGCGAGCGUUAUCCGGAUUUAUUGGGUUUAAAGGGAGCGUAGGUGGGAUGUUAAGUCAGUUGUGAAAGUUUGCGGCUCAACCGUAAAAGUGCAAUUGAUACUGGCAGUCUUGAGUACAGGUGAGGUAUGCGGAAUUCGUGGUGUAGCGGUGAAAUGCUUAGAUAUCACGAAGAACCCCGAUUGCGAAGGCAGCUUACUAGACUGUGACUGACACUGAUGCUCGAAAGUGUGGGUAUCAAACAGGAUUAGAUACCCCAGUAGUC